rnacentral:rRNA from 1 species
GGGCCCGCACAAGGGUGGAGCAUGUGGUUUAAUUCGACGCAACGCGAAGAACCUUACCUGGUCUGACACCUGCGAACUUUCUAGAGUAGAUUGGUGCCUUCGGGAACCAGUGACAGGUGCUGCAUGGCUGUCGUCAGCUCGUGUCGUGAGAUGUUGGGUUAAGUCCCGUAACCGAGCGCAACCCCUUGUCGUUAUUUGCCAUCAUUUAGUUGGGCACUCAGGGAACUGCCGGUGACAAACCGAGGAAGUGGGGGACGACGUCAAGUCAUCAUGGCCCUUACGAGCCAGGGUACGACACAUGCUACAAUGGGCGGUACAAAGGGUUGCAAUCCCGCGAGGGGAG